rnacentral:rRNA from 2 species
ACGCUGCGGCGUGCUAUACAUGCAAGUCGAACGAAACUUUCUUACACCGAAUGCUUGCAUUCACCGUAAGAAGUUGAGUGGCGGACGGGUGAGUAACACGUGGGUAACCUGCCUAAAAGAAGGGGAUAACACUUGGAAACAGGUGCUAAUACCGUAUAUCUCUAAGGAUCGCAUGAUCCUUAGAUGAAAGAUGGUUCUGCUAUCGCUUUUAGAUGGACCCGCGGCGUAUUAACUAGUUGGUGGGGUAACGGCCUACCAAGGUGAUGAUACGUAGCCGAACUGAGAGGUUGAUCGGCCACAUUGGGACUGAGACACGGCCCAAACUCCUACGGGAGGCAGCAGUAGGGAAUCUUCCACAAUGGACGCAAGUCUGAUGGAGCAACGCCGCGUGAGUGAAGAAGGUCUUCGGAUCGUAAAACUCUGUUGUUAGAGAAGAACACGAGUGAGAGUAACUGUUCAUUCGAUGACGGUAUCUAACCAGCAAGUCACGGCUAACUACGUGCCAGCAGCCGCGGUAAUACGUAGGUGGCAAGCGUUGUCCGGAUUUAUUGGGCGUAAAGGGAACGCAGGCGGUCUUUUAAGUCUGAUGUGAAAGCCUUCGGCUUAACCGGAGUAGUGCAUUGGAAACUGGAAGACUUGAGUGCAGAAGAGGAGAGUGGAACUCCAUGUGUAGCGGUGAAAUGCGUAGAUAUAUGGAAGAACACCAGUGGCGAAAGCGGCUCUCUGGUCUGUAACUGACGCUGAGGUUCGAAAGCGUGGGUAGCAACAGGAUA